GACGAACCGUGCGAACGUUGUUCGGAUUCACUGGGCUUAAAGGGCGCGUAGGCGGGUCAGCAAGUCCGGGGUGAAAGCUUUCGGCUCAACCGGAAAAGGGCCUUGGAUACUGCUGGUCUGGAGGAAGGUAGGGGCGUGUGGAACUUCCGGUGGAGCGGUGAAAUGCGUAGAUAUCGAAAGGAACGCCGGUGGCGAAAGCGACACGCUGGACCUUUUCUGACGCUGAGGCGCGAAAGCCAGGGGAGCAAACGGG
rnacentral:rRNA from 1 species